AUUUACAUUUACAUUUUAUUUAAAGGGGGGUCCAAUGCUAUUUCAUGCAUUCUGAGCUAUUCACACUGUUAAAGAGUUUGAUUCUCGUGCAUGGCCAAAGUAAAAAAAAAAAAACAAUUUGGACGUAUGAUGGAG